rnacentral:rRNA from 1 species
UACAGAGGGUGCGAGCGUUGUCCGGAAUCACUGGGCGUAAAGGGCGCGUAGGCGGCCUGGCAAGUCGGUGGUGAAAGCUCAGGGCUCAACUCUGAGUCGGCCAUCGAUACUGCGAGGCUCGAGUCGACUAGAGGCAGAUGGAAUUCCGGGUGUAGCGGUGGAAUGCGUAGAGAUCCGGAAGAACACCGGUGGCGAAGGCGGUCUGCUGGGGUCGAACUGACGCUGAUGCGCGACAGCGUGGGGAG